CAUAAUUAUAGUGACUGUACAAAUUUAAGCAAGAUAUACAAAAUAAAAUUUAUUUAAAAUUAGUAUUUGAAAUUAAAACAAUACGCGGCACGUUGUAGUACUUUGCAAUAGUCAAUUUCAAUAGUCAGUUUAACAAUAAUCCAUUGCACAUAGGAUUCAGUGGAGUAAAAAGUAUCUCUCAUCAUCUCUCCCGGCACUCGAGAUCAUCGCCAGUGUGAAACUCUGAAGCAGACCGCAGUCUCCAGCUAAUCGGUCAGUUAAGCCAUUUGGAAUUUCGACUAGCCCAUACCGAGGCACGCCCACGCCCACGCAACGGUCAAGACAAUCGAUCCGAGCAUAAUCGCCUUUCGUUGCCCGAGUUGAAAAAGCGAACGGCAGCCAUAGAGCGUUGAUGAAUGAACGAUUUAUCAAUCCAUCCGAGCUGAAACAAGAGGCAUUCACUUGAAAGUGACUGCUAAAGCUGCUGCAA
rnacentral:sRNA from 1 species